UCCGGUUUGGCACCGGCAGUCUCCCUAGAGUCCCCGACGUGACUCGCUGGCAACUAAAGACGGGGGUUGCGCUCGUUGCGGAACUUAAUCCAACACCUCACGACACGAGCUGACGACAGCCAUGCACCACCUGUGCACUGGCCCCGAAGGGCUGCCGUAUUUCUACGGCAUUCCAGUGCAUGUCAAGCCCUGGUAAGGUUCUUCGCGUUGCGUCGAAUUAAACCACAUGCUCCGCUGCUUGUGCGGGCCCCCGUCAAUUCCUUUGAGUUUUAGCCUUGCGGCCGUACUCCCCAGGCGGGGCGCUUAAUGCGUUAGCUGCGGCACGGACGGAGUCGACACCGCCCACACCUAGCGCCCAACGUUUACGGCGUGGACUAC
rnacentral:misc_RNA from 1 species